rnacentral:lncRNA from 1 species
AUGUGGUAUUUGUGGAUCCUUACCAUAAUGUCACUUACCUAUAGCUAAUGGAAUAUUUAAGUGGAGCUCAUAGGAGUGAAAAACAGCUCAUACAUAUGUUGUCUAAUCGUGCCAUGGAUCCAAAGGAACUCAACAUAUAAUUAAAUCAAGAUGUGCAUGUGUGGUGGAGUAAAUGAUAGUGAUGGUAAAAAUGUAUAAGUGAUAAUGAAACUUACUUCUCAUUGCUCCUCAUAUUGCUAUCUCUCCUCCUCUUUGAUCUUUGCUUUGGGAGAACAUGGGCUAUCUUUUUUUUCAGGUGGGUAGUAGAUACCCCUAAUUCUACUGCCGGACACUUGUCCAUUUUUUCCGCUCAAAUGGGCAUU